rnacentral:lncRNA from 1 species
AGAAAGUUUACAAAGAAGAUUUUGAGAAGGAGAUUAAAGGAAGAUCCUCACUGGAUUUAGACAAGACUCCUGCAUUUCUACACGUGAAGCACAUCAGCAACCUGAUGAGGGAGAAAGAAUAUAAAAAAGAUUUGGAAAAUGAAAUAAAAGGGAAAGGAAUGGAACUUAGUUCAGAAGUUCUUGAUAUUCAGAGAGCAAAGCGAGCAUCCGAAAUGGCCAGCGAGAAAGAAUACAAAAAGGACCUGGAGUUGGAAAUUAAAGGGAAGGGGAUGCAAAUUGACGCUGAUACCCUUGAAAUACAGCGAGUCAAAAGAGCUGCCAAGAUAGCCAGUGAGAAAGACUAUAAAAGAGAUCUGGAGACAGAAAUUAAAGGGAAAGGAAUGCAGGUCAGCACAG